UACGUAGGGUACAAGCGUUAAUCGGAAUUACUGGGCGUAAAGGGUGCGCAGGCGGUCAUGUAAGUCAGAUGUGAAAUCCCCGGGCUUAACCUGGGAAUUGCGUUUGAAACUACAUGACUAGAGUGCAGUAGAGGGAGGUGGAAUUCCAUGUGUAGCAGUGAAAUGCGUAGAUAUAUGGAGGAACAUCGAUGGCGAAGGCAGCCUCCUGGACUGACACUGACGCUCAUGCACGAAAGCGUGGGGAGCAAACAGG
rnacentral:rRNA from 1 species